UGGAGAGUUUGAUCCUGGCUCAGGAUGAACGCUAGCGGCAGGCCUAAUACAUGCAAGUCGAACGCGAUUAAAGGGCUUGCUCUUUAUGAAAGUGGCGCACGGGUGCGUAACGCGUAUGCAACCUACCUUUAUCAGGGGAUAGCCCGGAGAAAUCCGGAUUAACACCGCAUAAAAUCACAGGAUAGCAUUAUUCAAUGAUCAAAUAUUUAUAGGAUAAAGAUGGGCAUGCGUGUCAUUAGCUAGUUGGCGGGGUAACGGCCCACCAAGGCGACGAUGACUAGGGGAUCUGAGAGGAUGGCCCCCCACACUGGUACUGAGACACGGACCAGACUCCUACGGGAGGCAGCAGUAAGGAAUAUUGGUCAAUGGAGGCAACUCUGAACCAGCCAUGCCGCGUGCAGGAAGACUGCCCUAUGGGUUGUAAACUGCUUUUAUCCGGGAAUAAACCUACUUACGUGUAAGUAGCUGAAUGUACCGGAAGAAUAAGGAUCGGCUAACUCCGUGCCAGCAGCCGCGGUAAUACGGAGGAUCCAAGCGUUAUCCGGAUUUAUUGGGUUUAAAGGGUGCGUAGGCGGCCUGUUAAGUCAGGGGUGAAAGACGGUAGCUCAACUAUCGCAGUGCCCUUGAUACUGAUGGGCUUGAAUGGACUAGAGGUAGGCGGAAUGAGACAAGUAGCGGUGAAAUGCAUAGAUAUGUCUCAGAACACCGAUUGCGAAGGCAGCUUACUAUGGUCUUAUUGACGCUGAGGCACGAAAGCGUGGGGAUCAAACAGGAUUAGAUACCCUGGUAGUCCACGCCCUAAACGAUGAACACUCGCUGUUGGCGAUACACAGUCAGCGGCUAAGCGAAAGCGUUAAGUGUUCCACCUGGGGAGUACGCCCGCAAGGGUGAAACUCAAAGGAAUUGACGGGGCCCGCACAAGCGGAGGAGCAUGUGGUUUAAUUCGAUGAUACGCGAGGAACCUUACCCGGGCUUGAAAGUUAGUGAAUGAUUUAGAGAUAGAUCAGUGAGCAAUCACACGAAACUAGGUGCUGCAUGGCUGUCGUCAGCUCGUGCCGUGAGGUGUUGGGUUAAGUCCCGCAACGAGCGCAACCCCUAUGUUUAGUUGCCAGCAUGUAAUGAUGGGGACUCUAAACAGACUGCCUGUGCAAACAGAGAGGAAGGAGGGGACGACGUCAAGUCAUCAUGGCCCUUACGUCCGGGGCUACACACGUGCUACAAUGGAUGGUACAGAGGGCAGCUACAUAGCAAUAUGAUGCGAAUCUCACAAAGCCAUUCACAGUUCGGAUUGGGGUCUGCAACUCGACCCCAUGAAGUUGGAUUCGCUAGUAAUCGCGUAUCAGCAAUGACGCGGUGAAUACGUUCCCGGGCCUUGUACACACCGCCCGUCAAGCCAUGGAAGCUGGGGGUACCUAAAGUAUGUAACCGCAAGGAGCGUCCUAGGGUAAAACCGGUAACUGGGGCUAAGUCGUAACAAGGUAGCCGUACCGGAAGGUGCGGCUGGAAUACCUCCUUU
rnacentral:rRNA from 1 species